UACGUAGGGUGCGAGCGUUGUCCGGAAUUAUUGGGCGUAAAGAGCUCGUAGGCGGCUUGUCGCGCCGGAUGUGAAAGCCCGGGGCUUAACUCCGGGUCUGCAUUCGAUACGGGCAGGCUAGAGUUCGGUAGGGGAGAUCGGAAUUCCUGGUGUAGCGGUGAAAUGCGCAGAUAUCAGGAGGAACACCGGUGGCGAAGGCGGAUCUCUGGGCCGAUACUGACGCUGAGGAGCGAAAGCGUGGGGAGCGAACAGG
rnacentral:rRNA from 1 species